GCCUGCAUGGCUCAGUCGGUUAAGCAUCUGACUUUGGCUCAGGUCAUGAUCUCACAGUUUGGUUUGUGGGUUUGAGCCCCAUGUCGGGCU
rnacentral:tRNA from 1 species